ACGGGAGGCAGCAGUGGGGGAUAUUGCGCAAUGGGGGAAACCCUGAUGCAGCGACGCCGCGUGAGUGAAGAAGUAUUUCGGUAUGUAAAGCUCUAUCAGCAGGAAAGAUAAUGACGGUACCUGACUAAGAAGCACCGGCUAAAUACGUGCCAGCAGCCGCGGUAAUACGUAUGGUGCAAGCGUUAUCCGGAUUUACUGGGUGUAAAGGGAGCGCAGACGGCAUGGCCAGCCAGAUGUGAAAGGCAGGGGCUCAACCCCUGGACUGCAUUUGGAACUGUCAAGCUAGAGUAUCGGGGAGGUAAGUGGAAUUCCUAGUGUAGCGGUGAAAUGCGUAGAUAUUAGGAGGAACACCAGUGGCGAAGGCGGCUUACUGGACGAUAACUUACGUUGAGGCUCGAAAGCGUGGGGAGCAAACAGGAUUAGACACCCUGGUA
rnacentral:rRNA from 1 species